UACGGGGGGGGCGAGCGUUGUUCGGAAUUACUGGGCGUAAAGGGUUUGUAGGUGGCCUGCUAAGUCAGACGUGAAAUCCCUCAGCUUAACUGGGGAACUGCGUCUGAUACUGGCGGGCUUGAGGACAGGAGAGGAACGCGGAAUUCCAGGUGUAGCGGUGAAAUGCGUAGAUAUCUGGAGGAACACCGGUGGCGAAGGCGGCAUCCUGGACCGGCAUUGACGCUGAGGCGCGAAAGCUAGGGGAGCAAACGGG
rnacentral:rRNA from 1 species